rnacentral:tRNA from 1 species
GCCAGCUUAGCUCAGUUGGUAGAGCAGCUGAUUCGUAAUCAGCAGGCCGGGGGUUCAAGUCCCCCAGCUGGCU